rnacentral:rRNA from 1 species
UACGAAGGGGGCUAGCGUUGCCUCGGAAUCACUGGGCGUAAAGGGUGCGUAGGCGGGUCUUUAAGUCAGGGGUGAAAUCCUGGAGCUCAACUCCAGAACUGCCUUUGAUACUGAAGAUCUUGAGUUCGGGAGAGGUGAGUGGAACUGCGAGUGUAGAGGUGAAAUUCGUAGAUAUUCGCAAGAACACCAGUGGCGAAGGCGGCUCACUGGCCCGGUACUGACGCUGAGGCACGAAAGCGUGGGGAGCAAACAGGG